ensembl:processed_transcript
AGCUGCCUCCCUUUGCUCACUGGAGCCCAGAAGCAAUAUGCUGGUGCCAGGGUCAGCCCAGGCAGCCCUGCACAGCCACCUCUCCCCUGCCUUCUGCACAGGGCUCCUUUCAGGGACAAGAACGCAUGGAGGAGAGUAGGUGAGAAGGAGAGCAAAAGGUCGGCCAACAAGUUGGGGAGAAGGUCCUGGAGAGGGUAGAGCCUGCCGGCACGGCUCCAAGAAAUCACGUGGGCCGUGGUCCUAUCACCUCGGGAUGCGUUUCACUGCCUUUGGCCAUCUCCUCCCAGGAGCUACGCUCACCCAGGUCGUAGAGGGUCCGUAGCACGGCGUCCAGGAGCGCCUCCGACUCAGGAGGCUCAACGGAGUCCGAAUCGUGCUCCGCCGCCAUGGGAAUCAGCACGGACGCCCCAGAUCCGGCCCACUGCCCACCACUUCCGCUUCCGGCGCGGCUUCUGCGCGUGCGUCACGGCCCCUGCGCGGCCUCGGGCCUGGUUAAGAUGGCGGUGCCCGGGGUCCCGUGCAGUGGCUGUACGGAGUGCCACUGUCCUGGGCGAACGGGAGCCGCCCCGUGCGAAAGAACCGCCCCCAGCGGCUGCACCAGAGCCGCGUAGCAGACCAGCCCAGGCCCCGCCCGGGACGGCAGCCGCGCCAUGGACGUUCCUAGCUCCUCCAGCUCCCGAUUCUCGGUCGGCUCUGCCAGCCCUAGCAGUGUGCUCCUCUAUGCGGUAGGCGCCUGGUGGACCAAGGCCCAGGGCGACGUCCCGGGAAGGACAAUCCCUCCCCGAUCCCUAUGUCCCCAGCCCAUGACCCUUGCUUGUCUCAAAGAGCGGGUCCUAACCCAGGAAUGAACAGGGGUUGGGUACAUGGUUUGGUAUCCACGGCAACCAUGUGUCUGCGCCUCGGUUAACGCGUCUGCUUUUACGAGUUUGUAUCGAUGGCGGUCCCUCUGUCCCUUCUCCCCGUCAGGCCGGGAACCCCCGCACACUACAUGAGGGGAGCACAGUAUUAGAGGCUCCCGAGUUCUGCCUGUUGAGUAGUAACCUUAAGUCCUGACCUAGCCCGAGAAGACUUUUGGGUCUCCACCUCCCGCCUUCCCCCCAGCCCCCUACCUUAAGUAUUCCUGAGAGAGAAAAAUAUUCGGCU